rnacentral:rRNA from 1 species
AUUGAACGCUGGCGGAAUGCUUUACACAUGCAAGUCGAACGGCAGCACGGGGGCAACCCUGGUGGCGAGUGGCGAACGGGUGAGUAAUACAUCGGAACGUGCCCAGUCGUGGGGGAUAACGUAGCGAAAGUUACGCUAAUACCGCAUACGAUCUACGGAUGAAAGCGGGGGACCGUAAGGCCUCGCGCGAUUGGAGCGGCCGAUGUCAGAUUAGGUAGUUGGUGGGGUAAGGGGUCACCAAGCCGACGAACUGUAGCUGGUCUGAGAGGACGACCAGCCACACUGGGACUGAGACACGGCCCAGAGUCCUACGGGAGGCAGCAGUGGGGAAUUUUGGACAAUGGGCGCAAGCCUGAUCCAGCCAUUCCGCGUGAAGGACGAAGGCCUUCGGGUUGUAAACUGCUUUUGUACGGAACGAAAAGGCUCUGGUUAAUACCUGGGGCUCAUGACGGUACCGUAAGAAUAAGCACCGGCUAACUACGUGCCAGCCGCCGCAGUAA